rnacentral:rRNA from 1 species
GACGAACGCUGGCGGCGUGCUUAACACAUGCAAGUCGAACGGAAAGGCCCUGCUUUUGUGGGGUGCUCGAGUGGCGAACGGGUGAGUAACACGUGAGUAACCUGCACUUGACUUUGGGAUAACUUCAGGAAACUGGGGCUAAUACCGGAUAGGAGCUCCUGCUGCAUGGUGGGGGUUGGAAAGUUUCGGCGGUUGGGGCUGGACUCGCGGCUUAUCAGCUUGUUGGUGGGGUAGUGGCUUACCAAGGCUUUGACGGGUAGCCGGCCUGAGAGGGUGGCCGGCCACAUGGCGACUGCGAUACGGCCCAGACUCCUACGGGCGGCAGCAGUGGGAAAUAUUGCGCAAUGGGCGGAAGUCUGAUGCGGCAACGCCGCGUGCGGGAUGACGGCCUUCGGGUUGUAAACCGCUUUCGCCUGUGACGAAGCGUGAGUGACGGUAAUGGGUAAAGAAGCACCGGCUAACUACGUG